rnacentral:rRNA from 1 species
AAACGGGUGGUAAUGCCGGAUGUUCCAGUUGAUCGCAUGGUCUUCUGGGAAAGCUUUCGCGGUAUGGGAUGGGGUCGCGUCCUAUCAGCUUGACGGCGGGGUAACGGCCCACCGUGGCUUCGACGGGUAGCCGGCCUGAGAGGGCGACCGGCCACAUUGGGACUGAGAUACGGCCCAGACUCCUACGGGAGGCAGCAGUGGGGAAUAUUGCACAAUGGGCGCAAGCCUGAUGCAGCGACGCCGCGUGAGGGAUGGAGGCCUUCGGGUUGUAAACCUCUUUUAUCGGGGAGCAAGCGAGAGUGAGUUUACCCGUUGAAUAAGCACCGGCUAACUACGUGCCAGCAGCCGCGGUAAUACGUAGGGUGCAAGCGUUAUCCGGAAUUAUUGGGCGUAAAGGGCUCGUAGGCGGUUCGUCGCGUCCGGUGUGAAAGUCCAUCGCUUAACGGUGGAUCCGCGCCGGGUACGGGCGGGCUUGAGUGCGGUAGGGGAGACUGGAAUUCCCGGUGUAACGGUGGAAUGUGUAGAUAUCGGAAAAAAAAACACCAA